rnacentral:rRNA from 1 species
UCAGGAUGAACGCUGGCGGCGUGCCUAACACAUUCAAGUCGAACGGAAACAUACUUGUAGCAAUAUGGGUAUGUUUAGUGGCGGACGGGUGAGUAACGCGUGAGCAACCCGCCUUUCAGAGGGGGAUAACACAGGGAAACUUGUGCUAAUACCGCAUAACGUACCGGGGAGGCAUCUCCAUGGUACCAAAGGAGCAAUCUGCUGAAAGAAGGGCUCGCGUCCGAUUAGAUAGUUGGUGGGGUAAAGGCCUACCAAGUCUGCGAUCGGUAGCCGGACUGAGAGGUUGAACGGCCACAUUGGAACUGAGAAACGGUCCAGACUCCUACGGGAGGCAGCAGUGGGGAAUAUUGGGCAAUGGGCGAAAGCCUGACCCAGCGACGCCCGCGUGAAGGAAGACGGUCUUCGGAUUGUAAACUUCAGUUAUACGGGACGAAAGCGUGUUCGCACGCGUGACGGUACCGUAAGAGAAAGCCACGGCUAACUACGUGCCAGCAGCAGC